AACAAACGAAAUACUCUUCCAUUCUGUGCUUUAGGAAUUUAUAGAUAUUCCAAAUGCAUUAUAUUAUAUGUGCACAGGGGAAAGCAAGAAACUUAUCCUGGGAGAGGAGGGAGGACCCUGGAUGUGAAAGUGUAGGAGACUGCCAGGGAGACUGUGUCAGGUGGAACUGGCAGUGGCGGCGAGGACGACACUCCACACAAAAGAAGCUAACGAGAGAACACAAGCUUGGCAGAGGAUCUUCUAUUCAUACGCGGACUAGAACUUUCUGAAGGAAAUGUUAAUGGCGAUUACAGAGGCUUCCUUGUUUUCAUUCUAAUGUAUGUGGGGGAAUGAUUUGAUAUUUUAUCAGACAUCAAGAACGG
rnacentral:lncRNA from 1 species